CAGCAGCCACGGGAAUACGUAGGGUGCGAGCGUUAAUCGGAAUUACUGGGCGUAAAGCGUGCGCAGGCGGUUGUGUAAGACAGGUGUGAAAUCCCCGGGCUUAACCUGGGAACUGCGCUUGUAACUGCACAGCUAGAGUGUGGCAGAGGGGGGUGGAAUUCCGCGUGUAGCAGUGAAAUGCGUAGAUAUGCGGAGGAACACCGAUGGCGGAGGCAGCCCCCUGGGCCAACACUGACGCUCAUGCACGAAAGCGUGGGGAGCAAACAGGAUUAGAUACCCGAGUAGUCCCUGUCUCUUAUAC
rnacentral:rRNA from 1 species